GCCUGGCUGGCUCAAUCAGUAGAGUGUGAGACUCUUGAUCUCAGAGUUGUAAGUUUGAGCCCCACAUUGGGUA
rnacentral:tRNA from 1 species